CUUGCACCGGGUGGAUGAGUGGCGAACGGGUGAGUAACACGUGAGUAACCUGCCCCUGACUUCGGGAUAAGCCCGGGAAACUGGGUCUAAUACCGGAUACGACUGCCGGACGCAUGUCUGGUGGUGGAAAGUUUUUUCGGUUGGGGAUGGGCUCGCGGCCUAUCAGUUUGUUGGUGAGGUAAUGGCUCACCAAGACGACGACGGGUAGCCGGCCUGAGAGGGCGACCGGCCACACUGGGACUGAGACACGGCCCAGACUCCUACGGGAGGCAGCAGGG
rnacentral:rRNA from 1 species